rnacentral:lncRNA from 1 species
GAGCAUGCACCCAAGUCAGGAGGGGUGGGGGAGAGAGGGAAACAUAGCAUCUGAAGUAAGCUCCAGGCUCUGAGCUGUCAGCACAGAGUUGGAUGCAGGGCUUGAACCCACAAACCAUGAGAUCAUAACCUGAACCAAAGUCUGACGCUGAACCGACUGAGCCAACUAGGCGCCCCCCAUACAUCAUUUUUAAUCCUCCUGAACUAGACUGUUAAUGUGUUCCUUUUCCUUGUAGGUUCACUGUGUGGUACUCUCUUCCCAUCUUCCCUAAGGAUACCAUCGAAACAGUUUUAUUUCCGGCAAUGGAAAAAUGAGAUCAGCUCUGACUGCAAAAUUGCAAGAUUCAACUAAGAAAGAAAGAAAGAAAGAAAGAAAGAAAGAAAGAAAGAAAGAAAGAAAGAAAGAAAGAAAGAAAGAAAGAAAGAAAGAAAGAAAGAAAGAAAGAAAGAAAUGCAGGUUGAAGGAAUUAAUGCCAACAGAACAGUCAAGAUGAAGAAGGGUUACACAGUACUGUUUUGGUAACGACCAGAUACCAACAAACCAACUCCCUGGUAAUUCUUAGUUGCAAAUGGGAUGCCUUUGAAAUCAGCCACCCCACUAUGAAGGGGUCUGCUUCCCCCUGCUGGAAGCAUCCAAUAGCUACACGUACUCCAGAAAUUCACAAUGAAAUCAUCAACAAUGACAGUAAAAGCUAACGUUUUUUGUGUGUUCAAUAAAUGGAUUUGUAUAUGAAAAUGAUACUAAAUU